rnacentral:rRNA from 1 species
GACGAACGCUGGCGGCGUGCUUAACACAUGCAAGUCGAACGGAAAGGCCCUGCUUGCAGGGUACUCGAGUGGCGAACGGGUGAGUAACACGUGGGUGAUCUGCCCUGCACUUCGGGAUAAGCUUGGGAAACUGGGUCUAAUACCGGAUAGGAGCCAUCUUAAGUGUGGUGGUUGGAAAGUUUUUUCGGUGUAGGAUGAGCUCGCGGCCUAUCAGCUUGUUGGUGGGGUAAUGGCCUACCAAGGCGGCGACGGGUAGCCGGCCUGAGAGGGUGUACGGCCACAUUGGGACUGAGAUACGGCCCAGACUCCUACGGGAGGCAGCAGUGGGGAAUAUUGCACAAUGGGCGCAAGCCUGAUGCAGCGACGCCGCGUGGGGGAUGAAGGCCUUCGGGUUGUAAACUCCUUUCGCUAGGGACGAAGCGUUGUUGUGACGGUACCUAGAGAAGAAGCACCGGCUAACUACGUG